rnacentral:rRNA from 1 species
CAGCCGCCACGGGAAAACGUAGGGUGCAAGCGUUAAUCGGAAUUACUGGGCGUAAAGCGUGCGCAGGCGGUUCGCUAAGACAGAUGUGAAAUCCCCGGGCUUAGCCUGGGAACUGCAUUUGUGACUGGCGGGCUAGAGUAUGGCAGAGGGGGGUAGAAUUCCACGCGUAGCAGUGAAAUGCGUAGAGAUGUGGAGGAAUACCGAUGGCGAAGGCAGCCCCCUGGGCCAAUACUGACGCUCAUGCACGAAAGCGUGGGGAGCAAACAGGAUUAGAUACCCCAGUAGUCCCUGUCUCUUAUAA